GUUUUGCAUAAGCCAUUCAUGUGUGAGAGCUUCAUAGAGCUGUAUGCAGAACUGCAGCAGGGGAUGCAGCCUGGGGAAGGGCGGCAAUGACCUCGAGGUGCCCUGGCGUGGCCACGUGCUUCUGCACCCUCGCUGCUCCUGUUGCCUCCUGACGAGCAGCCCCGUGCCAUCGCACCCACCUGCACGACCGGGCUGUGCUGGGCUGGGGGCAAGCAUGGACUGAAUGGACCUCACCUGAUGCAUCGCUGUUGCCUUUCACGGCCCCCAUCAACCCCUCUGGGGGCCUGGGGACACCGGUUCCGUGGGACGAGCGGGCGCGCGGUGGGCACGGAGCCCCGACGCCAGCUGGCACCGUGAUGCGGGGAUGUGCGGGGGCGCGGGGCACGGGUAGCACGCGGGGCAUGUACCGAGGGCACUGAAUAAAGCGCUGCUGAACGGACA
rnacentral:lncRNA from 1 species